UACGAAGGGGGCUAGCGUUGCUCGGAAUCACUGGGCGUAAAGGGUGCGUAGGCGGGUCUUUUAAGUCAGGGGUGAAAUCCUGGAGCUCAACUCCAGAACUGCCUUUGAUACUGAAGAUCUUGAGUUCGGGAGAGGUGAGUGGAACUGCGAGUGUAGAGGUGAAAUUCGUAGAUAUUCGCAAGAACACCAGUGGCGAAGGCGGCAUCCUGGCCCUGUCCUGACGCUCAGGGGCGAAAGCGAUGGGGAGCAAACCGGG
rnacentral:rRNA from 1 species